CUUGCAGAAGCUAUUUUGCGAGAGACAUCAUCUUCAUCCAAACAAGAAGAAAGAUCAUGGAGAGACAGUCAUAAAAGCCACAGCAUCACCCCUGUGGGGUUGAAGACAUCUUUGCAGAAACACUUCUUCAGAAAUGUGAAUAGCAAAGCACUAAAAAGCUCUGUACAAAGGACUGAGUGUUUAAGAUCAGUAACAAAGGAGCAUCAAGAAAAGAAAUCAUCUAAUUGCUUCCUUAGCAGAAGCACAACACCCACUGGCAGGAGAACACCUCAUCAAGAAAGAGUAACACCUUUUGAGCCAGAAAAAGUUGCAUAUCCACCCUCUCCUAUGGGGAAGAGGACAGAUGAUAGAAAAUC
rnacentral:lncRNA from 1 species